CCCGGGCCUUGUACACACCGCCCGUCACACCACGAGAGUUUGUAACACCCGAAGUCGGUGAGGUAACCUUUGGAGCCAGCCGCCGAAGGUGGGACAGAUGAUUGGGGUG
rnacentral:rRNA from 1 species